rnacentral:rRNA from 1 species
AACGAACGCUGGCGGCAGGCCUAACACAUGCAAGUCGAACGCUCCGCAAGGAGAGUGGCAGACGGGUGAGUAACACGUGGGAAUCUUCCUGUUGGUUCGGAAUAGCUCAGGGAAACUUGGGGUAAUACCGGAUAAGCCCGAGAGGGGAAAGAUUUAUCGCCGACAGAUGAGCCCGCGUCUGAUUAGCUAGUUGGUGAGGUAAUGGCUCACCAAGGCGACGAUCAGUAGCNGGUCUGAGAGGAUGACCAGCCACACUGGGACUGAGACACGGCCCAGACUCCUACGGGAGGCAGCAGGUGGGGAAUAUUGGACAAUGGGCGCAAGCCUGAUCCAGCCAUGCCGCGUGAGUGACGAAGGUCUUCGGAUUGUAAAGCUCUUUUGCCAGGGACGAUAAUGACGGUACCUGGAGAAUAACGCCCCGGCUAACUUCGUGCCA